UGGGGAAUAUUGGACAAUGGGGGCAACCCUGAUCCAGCAAUACCGCGUGUGUGAAGAAGGCCUUCGGGUUGUAAAGCACUUUAGGUUGGGAAGAAGGUGUGUUGUUUAAGAGAUGGCACAUUUGACUGUACCGACAGAAUAAGCACCGGCUAACUCUGUGCCAGCAGCCGCGGUAAUACAGAGGGUGCAAGCGUUAAUCGGAGUUACUGGGCGUAAAGGGCGCGUAGGCGGUUAAUUAAGUGAGAUGUGAAAGCCCUGGGCUUAACCUAGGAACUGCAUCUUAUACUGAUUAGCUAGAGUAUUGUAGAGGGUAGUGGAAUUUCCGGUGUAGCGGUGAAAUGCGUAGAGAUCGGAAGGAACACCAGUGGCGAAGGCGGCUACCUGGACAAAUACUGACGCUGAGGCGCGAGAGCGUGGGGAGCAAACAG
rnacentral:rRNA from 1 species